GGGGUUGUGGCUCAGUGGUAGAGUGCUUGCCUAGCAUGUGUGAGGCACUGAGCUCAAACCUCAACACCACA
rnacentral:tRNA from 1 species